rnacentral:lncRNA from 10 species
UCAGAGGGAUUGAGCAGAGUGUAUUCAAAACUGUAUAAGGAGGCUGAAAAGAUAAAAAAAUGGAAAGUAAGUACAGAAGCUGAACUGAGACAGAAAGAAAGUAAGUUGCAAGAAAACAGAAAGAUAAUUGAAGCACAGCGAAAAGCCAUUCAGGAACUGCAAUUUGGAAAUGAAAAAGUAAGUUUGAAAUUAGAAGAAGGAAUACAAGAAAAUAAAGAUUUAAUAAAAGAGAAUAAUGCCACAAGGCAUUUAUGUAAUCUACUCAAAGAAACCUGUGCUAGAUCUGCAGAAAAGACAAAGAAAUUGCCUGCUAUGUCAUGAAAUCUUCUAGAUGCUGAUGAAAAACAGCAGUGAACAAAGUCUCUACUCUUACAAGAGUGUAUAUUCCAUGGUGUAUAUGUGCCACAUUUUCUUUAUCCAGUCUGUCAUUGAUGGGCAUUUGGGUUGGUUCCAAGUCUUUGCUGUUGUAAAUAGUGCUGCAAUAAACAUACGUGUGCAUGUGU